UAGGGAAUCUUCCACAAUGGACGCAAGUCUGAUGGAGCAACGCCGCGUGAGUGAAGAAGGCUUUCGGGUCGUAAAACUCUGUUAUUGAAGAAGAACGUGUGUGACAGUAACUGGUCAUGCAGUGACGGUAUUCAAUCAGAAAGUCACGGCUAACUACGUGCCAGCAGCCGCGGUAAUACGUAGGUGGCAAGCGUUGUCCGGAUUUAUUGGGCGUAAAGCGAGUGCAGGCGGUCUUUUAAGUCUGAUGUGAAAGCCUUCGGCUUAACUGAAGAAGGGCAUCGGAAACUGGGAGACUUGAGUGCAGAAGAGGAGAGUGGAACUCCAUGUGUAGCGGUGAAAUGCGUAGAUAUAUGGAAGAACACCAGUGGCGAAGGCGGCUCUCUGGUCUGUAACUGACGCUGAGGCUCGAAAGCGUGGGUAGCAAACAGGA
rnacentral:rRNA from 1 species